GGACCACGCUGUGAUGAGUCUUAUGUUGGUAGGGACAUCCGAGCUGCUGUGAUGAGAUUCCAACAUGCUGAGUGCGGAUC